UACGUAGGGGGCAAGCGUUGUCCGGAUUUAUUGGGCGUAAAGAGCGUGUAGGCGGCCAUGUAGGUCCGUUGUGAAAACUCGAGGCUCAACCUCGAGACGCCGAUGGAAACCAUGUGGCUAGAGUCCGGAAGAGGAGAGUGGAAUUCCUGGUGUAGCGGUGAAAUGCGCAGAUAUCAGGAAGAACACCCGUGGCUAAGGCGGCUCUCUAGUACGGUACUGACGCUGAGACGCGAAAGCGUGGGGAGCGAACAGG
rnacentral:rRNA from 3 species